AGCUUAUGGCCUCUCUAGUUUCUGAAUGUACUCCUGCUGUGAAACAGAAACAUACAAAAGAAUGGGAGGAGAUGGCUUUAAUUCCUACAUCUGUAUUUCCUACAAUUUCUACAUUUCCAUUAGCUGCUGGAGAUGCUGCUUCAGCAGCUGGCAGUGCUGCAGAGAACAGCUUGGUGCCUUCCAAAGGAGCAGUGAGAUUUCCCUCCAUGCUGAUUGCAGUUGUUGGUUUCCAGACAGCGUGCUAGAAAGGCAAUCUGUAGCUCACAGCAGCAGGAGGGGUUUUAGCUCCAGGACCUGUGAGAUCCCAGUGAUGUGUGUGGUGCUGAGGACAAAUCCUGCAUUGGGGGGGGACCCCUUAUCAACCGCAGUGACCUGGUCUCGCCGCCCCACCACACCCACCCCGAGGCAGGUGAACUCUAGAGGAGAGUUGGCUGUGAUGCAGUCAUGGGUUUUUAAUGCUCCUUGCAUCUCGAGUUCAUGUAGCCAGCUGCAUUUGGGAGUGUGAAGGAUGUACAAUGCCCUGUAUUGUACAACAAGCCUUUAUUGGGCUUGUGGAGUCAGGGCAAGAAAAAAAAAAAAAAGAAAAAGAAUAUUUUUGCACUUGAGUGAUAGCCAUCUAAAGGCUGAAUCUGUGACCACCCGGAGGCUGUUUCUGCAUGAAUGGAGGAGGAACUGCUCAAGCCUUCUUGUGAGUGAGGCCCUUCACCUGCAGUGUGCCAUUCAGCUUAGCAGCUGUGUUGCAUCUCUCCUCACGACCCUCAGCGAUACAGCAAGCAUUAACAGAGGCAAGUCAGGUGCACGCACAGCACCAGAACCAUUUGCAUAUGGCCUGGAGACAGCUGAGCUGUGUGGGGGCACACCUGAGGAAGGGCCUUUUAUGAAACUGGCUGAAACACUGGGCCUGAAGUUCUGAGGCUGAGGUUCAACCAACACGCUCCUCAGCAACUGCACCUGUGGGAACUGCAUUCAGCUCUGGCAGAACCAAGAUGAACAUAAUAAAAAUACCGUGUGUGAGAGCUAUUCA
rnacentral:lncRNA from 1 species